GUGACCUGGUUUUGCUUGUUCUGAAGGUUCUCAAAGUAAUAUAAUACGUAUUUUGCUAUGAUUCAGAGAGAAUCAAGGUUUGUAUCUGAUUUGGGUCCAGGUCAUGCAGGAGACGUAAAGUGGUACAAGAACCCAAGAAGUUGGUAAACUUUUCAUGAAUAUUUUCUGGCUUGAUCUCUUCAUCAUUCUCUCUAUGCAUAAGAGGCAUAUACCAUGCCAGAAAGCAUGAAGAGCUUGAAGAAUGUGCAUGUCAGCCUCCAUUACACAUGGCCUUUCCAGUUUUGAAUACUCAAUAAAAGACUUACUCAGAGUUUCGGUCCACAGACUAUUUAACAUUGUACUGCCUCCUAAUACUUGGGAAUAACACAGCAAUCUUUGAGAUGGGAUGUGAUAUGCAUAUUUACUA